rnacentral:lncRNA from 1 species
UCAUGGAGUUAUUAUUGUCUUCUAAUCAAAGAAAAAUACAUGAGUCAUGAAAAUGAAUGCUUCACACAAACUAAGAUGAAAAUUAACCAGCUAAAUUAAGCUGUACUCACCUUUGUAAUUUCUAAAGUGAUUAUUAUUAUUAUUAACACCCCAGUCCAUGUAAUCAUCACCUAUUAAUAUUAUUAUUAUUAUCUGGAAUUAAAUAAGAGAAAAACAAUCAACAUUAUUAGUGUUUUUGCAGUGUGCUUUGCAAUUGAAACAAGAAAAGAAAAAAAAAGUGGAAUCAAGAAAGGAAAUUGGGAAUACCAGAAAGGGAAAAUGGAGAGUUGAUGGGAAAGAAAUACUCAGAAAUUCAGUUUUAGCGGAGAAUUGUAACUGUGAUUUGGUUUGUGAUCAGAGGGAGGGAAAAUGGAGGGAGAUGAAAUUGAGCUGAGGAGGGAGAUCGGCGUGUAGUGGAUCUGAGCCGAGAGAGAGGGUUGAGUUGUUUUGAGCCGCGUCGCUGCAGAUCUAGUUUUUUCUUUUUUUUCCUACCACGGCUUCGCUCAAACGAUUGUUUUUUUUUUUUAAGAAUUAGAAAGAGAAGAGAGAGAAACACAAGAAUUGUGUGUUAGUGAGUGAGUCGAAGUCGACAUAAAGGAGUUGAGCCUUCCUUUCAGCCAGCUUUUCACUAAGCCCAAUGUUGUUUUACUUAGUCGGCUUUAGUUUUCUUUUCUUUUUUUUAAACUGGGACCGAACUUGUACUGUACUUUACUUGAUUAUCACACCCCAUUUCUUGAUUAUCACACCCGUUUAUUUUCUCUCAACUUCACUAGUAUUCUUGUAAAAAAACUUCACUACUAUUUAUCUACUGGCCAUGUAUCGAAGCAUGAAUCAAAUAAUUAAAUAUCUAUAACUUGUGUCUUACUACAUAGUAAAAAAUUUAUUGGUUUUUUAAAAUACAAUUUUUAAAAUAUGAUUUGGUUGGAAAAUUAAACCAGCUUAUAUCAUUUAGUUAAAGGAAAUAACUUGUCAUUUCACAGAUUUAAAAAACUAGUAGUCUGACUUGCUCUAAUCUCUUUGGAGAGACACUGACACACAACACAUGACUUUUUUUUAUAGAGAUGUGUUAGUGGUUAGUUUUACUGAAAGGAUCAUCUUGCAUAAAUUGAUUCCAGACCAACUUACACCAAGGUAACUUCACUAUCUCAAAAACAUGGGUGUGAUGUGAGACUUGGACUUCAAAUUUCAAAUGUACAUGCAUUUUAAGAGCAUAAAAGCUAGACUAAUAUGCAUAGCAGCAUAUGAAAGAAUUGCUACAAUCCUAUUCAGUUCAAUUACAUUGAAAGUGUGAUGUGAGACUUGGACUUCAAAUUUCAAAUGUACAUGCAUUUUAAGAGCAUAAAAGCUAGACUAAUAUGCAUAGCAGCAUAUGAAAGAAUUGCUACAAUCCUAUUCAGUUCAAUUACAUUGAAAUAAAUAAGAUACCAUUUGUUCAUAAAAACGUUUAGCAAAGUAGCAAACUAUUGGGGCAAAGAAGCAUUACGUAUUCAUAUAGCAAUAACUUUUAAGAGUAGCUUCUAAGACUUUGGAGAAGAAUGAAAGGUUGGUCCCCUAGCAGAAGUCCUUUUGUUAAACUGAAAUACUUGCCCUGUCACAAGUUUGCCACCAUACAAAAGCAAGAAGGUUGAGCUGUAUAUUCCUUGUAUUGCACAGAGCAAGAGCAAGAUCACUCAGAUCAAGAGUUUGCAAUAUGGCAAAUGUCACUAACAGUUCCAAAUUUGAGAUUAAAAAUACAGAAUAUAGUUACAAAAUAAAAAAUUCUCCCCUGCCAACUGAAUCCCACGUUCCCGUUCCCGUUCCCAGUUGAAGCAUACACUUUAAUAAUAGCCAACAGCUCUCAGGUCAUUUUGUUGUGCCC